rnacentral:rRNA from 1 species
GGCUAGAGUGUGGGAGAGGAAGAUGGAAUUAGUUGUGUAGGGGUAAAAUCCGUAGAGAUAACUAGGAAUACCAAAAGCGAAGGCAAUCUUCUGGAACAUUACUGACGCUGAGGCGCGAAAGCGUGGGGAGCAAACAGGAUUAGAUACCCUGGUAGUCCACGCCCUAAACGAUGAAUGUUAGUCGUCGGGUAGCUAGUCUAUUCGGUGAUGCAGCUAACGCAUUAAACAUUCCGCCUGGGGAGUACGGUCGCAAGAUUAAAACUCAAAGGAAUAGACGGGGACCCGCACAAGUGGUGGAGCAUGUGGUUUAAUUCGAAGAUACGCGAAGAACCUUACCUAGCCUUGACAUAUUUAAGAACUCCGUAGAGAUACAGAGGUGCCUUCGGGAGCUUUCUUACAGGUGCUGCACGGCUGUCGUCAGCUCGUGUCGUGAGAUGUUGGGUUAAGUCCCGCAACGAGCGCAACCCUCGUCACUAGUUACUAACGGUUCGGCCGAGGACUCUAGUGAGACUGCCUUCGUAAGGGGGAGGAAGGUGAGGACGACGUCAAGUCAUCAUGGCCCUUACGGCUAGGGCAACACACGUGCUACAAUGGCCAGGACAGUGAGACGCGAUACCGUGAGGUGGAGCAAAUCUAUAAACCUGGUCUCAGUUCGGAUUGUAGUCUGCAACUCGACUACAUGAAGCUGGAAUCACUAGUAAUCGUAGAUCAGCUAUGCUACGGUGAAUACGCUCCCGGGUCUUGUACUCACCGCCCGUCACACCAUGGGAGUUGAUUUCACCCGAAGCGGGGAAGCUAAACUGGCUACCCUCCACGGUGGAAUUAGCGACUGGGGUGAAGUCGUAACAAGGUAACC